rnacentral:rRNA from 1 species
AGUGAACGCUGGCGGUAGGCCUAACACAUGCAAGUCGAACGGCAGCACAGUAAGAGCUUGCUCUUACGGGUGGCGAGUGGCGGACGGGUGAGGAAUACAUCGGAAUCUACUUUUUCGUGGGGGAUAACGUAGGGAAACUUACGCUAAUACCGCAUACGACCUACGGGUGAAAGCAGGGGAUCUUCGGACCUUGCGCGAUUGAAUGAGCCGAUGUCGGAUUAGCUAGUUGGCGGGGUAAAGGCCCACCAAGGCGACGAUCCGUAGCUGUUCUGAGAGGAUGAUCAGCCACACUGGAACUGAGACACGGUCCAGACUCCUACGGGAGGCAGCAGUGGGGAAUAUUGGACAAUGGGCGCAAGCCUGAUCCAGCCAUACCGCGUGAGUGAAGAAGGCCUUCGGGUUGUAAAGCCCUUUUGUUGGGAAAGAAAAGCAGCAGGUUAAUACCCCGCUGUUCUGACGGUACCCAAAGAAUAAGCACCGGCUAACUUCGUG